AGCCUCCUGGCGCUUACCACAAGCUAUGUUCUUACACUGACUGUACAGAAAGAGGAAGCAGAGUAUAAAUCCACCCAUAUACACCCCAGCCUAGGUGCUUUGCCUGGUCUGUAUUGUGAAUGGGGGGACAUGG